GACCCCGCUCCACCCUCCGUACCACGUGGGCCAGGCGCCCCGCAGCCUGAUCCCUCGGCUGAGGCGGGGUCAGAGGGCUAAGGGUGACUGACUGCCCAGUGCAUGGAUCUCAGCAGCACUGCUUGACUUUCGGGCGGCAGGCAAGGAUGCUAAUCCACAAGGUUCCUGAGUCCAACAUCCCUCCCUCCAAUGUGGGGCUCGAAUCCGCUAUUGCAACCAAACCCGGGUUCUGCCCGCAGGGUGGCGCAAUGACAAGAGCCACCAGGUGACCCUGGUAACUCCCGCACCUAGACCUACAGGAGCAGUUUUUCUGCAGCACCACAUCUGUAGCCCUGCAUGCCGCUGGCUCCAGUGUUGUGUGUGUGGUCAUGCUCCAUCCAGCCCAGCAGCAACUUUGGUGUUUGACACCCCUCGGGAGGCACCGCUUUGGAAGAGACUGGUAACAGCAGGGUGGGACCGGCUACUUAGCUGUUCUCAGUCUGAAAGGAUUCUGGAAAGGGGCUCUAUUUAACCCAAACACUGGAGUCCAACACAGCCUCUGCCGUGUGACAGGUGUGUGCGGAGCCCAAGAUGUGUUGGGAACAGCUAUCGUUUCUACUGCUUUGUCCCAUGCCUCUGGAGCUCCUGGGUUCCUGAACUUCAAGCUGGGCCCCAUCCUUCACCCUAUCAGGGCCCUAGGUGGAGCUGACUUCCAACAGUAUACAGUGGGUCUUGGUACUUCCUCCUUGGCAUUCGACAGUUGGUGUUUUUGAAGUCAGAGCCAUCCUCAGUAGGCUCCUAGGGGAUCGUAAGCGGCUUUCUCUGGGUGGAAACCUACUCCAUGCAGCCUUCAGCAAAGGUACCAGCAUCUGUCACUGGGAUGGGGAAGUCCGGUGAUCGUGUCAGCAUGGGUUACGGUGGACGGGGAAAGGCUCAUUCUGACACUAGACACCUGGGUCUCUAGCCCUAUGCCUGGAUUUGUCUGGGGAACUCUGCACCACACUGAUCCUGGCUUUCCCCAUUACCUGCUCCAUGCCAGGAUCCUACGGCUGUUGAUCCCCUCGGAAGUGAGACAUAAUGUCCCGGAGCAGAUGCUGAUGGGGACUCACUGUUGGGCCACCUGAUUUCUGUGUUCAUCUUCCCAGGCUCCACCUUUCAGAUCCCAUCCCUGGUGUCUGCAGUUACAACUUUACUAACCAGAACUUUGUUUCCAGCUUACGCUGAAAAGCAAAGGGUGACUUAGAAUAAAAAUGUAACAAAUAGCCCCAUAGCCCAAACCUUUUCUGCCAUGAUUUACUGUACCAGAUACCUAUAAGUGUCCAGGGCAAAUUAAACACAUCAAUAAAUGGCUUUCUUGUGUCUGUCCUGCA
ensembl:processed_transcript 2810468N07Rik RIKEN cDNA 2810468N07 gene